AAUCCAUGGUGAGGGUAUUGAUUAGAGUAGCUUCUGAAUCUCUCCCAAGCCUCACAAAAAGUUUUAUUGUUGUGUUGGGUAAAGGAUGAGAUCUGGUUCCUUAAAUU
rfam:Eutrema salsugineum unplaced genomic scaffold scaffold_1, whole genome shotgun sequence.